rnacentral:RNase_P_RNA from 1 species
AAAGUAGGAGGAGCAGUCGCGCUUUAAACUAUGAUUUAAAGUGAGGAAAGUCCGAGCUCCACAGAAUCGAGGCGCCCGGUAACGCCGGGGCGGAGUGAUCCGACGGAAAGUGCCACAGAAACUAUACCGCCCGCCUCUGGUGGGCAAGGGUGAAAUCGUGGUGUAAGAGACCACGGUCGCGGCCAGUAAUGGCGGCGACGGGCAAACCCCGCCUGGAGCAAGGCCAAAUAGGGGAAGAGGGGCUGAUUCGUCCCGUUACCAUUCCCGGGUAGGCCGCAUGAGUGACCGGGUAACCGGUGGCCAAGAUAAAUGACUGUUAAUCCCGUUUUGACGGGAUCACAGAACUCGGCUUAUCUCCUGCUUUCCAA